CCUACGGGAGGCAGCAGUGGGGGAUAUUGCACAAUGGGGGAAACCCUGAUGCAGCGACGCCGCGUGUGGGAAGACGGUCCUCUGGAUUGUAAACCACUGUCCCCAGGGACGAAAAUGACGGUACCUGGGGAGGAAGCUCCGGCUAACUACGUGCCAGCAGCCGCGGUAAUACGUAGGGAGCGAGCAUUGUCCGGAAUUACUGGGUGUAAGGGGAGCGUAGGCGGGGAUGCAAGUUGGGGGUAAAAACUACCGGCUCAACUGGUAGUCGCACUCAAAACUGCAGCUCUUGAGUGAAGUAGAGGUAGGCGGAAUGCGUGGUGUAGCGGUGAAAUGCGUAGAUAUUAGGCAGAACACCAGUGGCGAAGGCGGCCUGCUGGGCUUUUACUGACGCUGAGGCUCGAAAGUGUGGGGAGCAAACAGGAUUAGAUACCCUUGUAGUC
rnacentral:rRNA from 1 species